rnacentral:misc_RNA from 1 species
GAUGAAGAACGUAGCGAAAUGCGAUAAGUAGUGUGAAUUGCAGAAUUCAGUGAAUCAUCGAAUCUUUGAACGCACAUUGCGCCCCUUGGUAUUCCAUGGGGCAUGCCUGUUCGAGCGUCAUUUGUACCUUCAAGCUCUGCUUGGUGUUGGGUGUUUGUCUCGCCUCUGCGUGUAGACUCGCCUCAAAACAAUUGGCAGCCGGCGUAUUGAUUUCGGAGCGCAGUACAUCUCGCGCUUUGCACUCAUAACGACGACGUCCAAAAGUACAUUUUUACACUCUUGACCUCGUAUCAGGUAGGGAUACCCGCUGAACUUAAGCAUAUCAAUAAGCGGAGGA